AAAAUAGACUACACCACUGGUUACGCAGUUUUUUGUGCAUACAAACAGCAUAACAACAUGUCCACAGAUAGAAAGUGGACAGCACUGUGUGUUCGACUGAUUUAGUGAGACACAAAUAAGACAGAAGUG